GACGAACGCUGGCGGCGUGCUUAACACAUGCAAGUCGAACGGAAAGGCCUUUUCUGGGGUCCUCCGGUGGCGUAACGCUGGGUAACCUGCCCUUAAGUUCCGCAUAACUCCCCGAUAAGGGUGCGAAUAUCGGUUAAUUUCUUCGUACGAAAGCUUUAUCGCGUUUGUGUGGGCCCGAGUUGUCUGAGUUAGUUGGUAGGGUAAAAGCCUACCUAGGCGAGGAUCCAUAGCUGGUCUGAGGGGAUGAUCAGCCACACUGGGACAGAGACACGGCCCCGACUCGUACGGGAGGCGGGAGUGGGUAAUAUUGGAGAGUGGGCGAAAGCCUGAGACAGCGAUGCCGCGUGAGUGAUGAAGGCGUUAGGGAUGUAAAGCUCUUUUAACCGGGAGGAUAAUGACAGUACCGGGAGAAUAAGCUCCGGCUAACUACGUG
rnacentral:rRNA from 1 species